rnacentral:rRNA from 1 species
CCUACGGGAGGCAGCAGUGGGGAAUAUUGGACAAUGGGCGAAAGCCUGAUCCAGCAAUGCCGCGUGAGUGAUGAAGGCCCUAGGGUUGUAAAGCUCUUUUACCCGAGAUGAUAAUGACAGUACCGGGAGAAUAAGCCCCGGCUAACUCCGUGCCAGCAGCCGCGGUAAU